UCCUUGCUGUGAUUCCUGGUGGCU
rnacentral:piRNA from 1 species